UCAAGUAAAUAGGAUAACUUUGCUAAUUGUGAAGAUAAUACAUGAUUGUGACAAUUAAUUUUGUGCUCAGAUUAUAUAUCCUUUAUAUAAAUGGAAGUUAAUUUGAGUUUAAAGUAUCAACGAUGAACAAGAAGCCUUUGAUCUAUCAGCUUGUCGGUUGUGUAUUGGAUAACCGAGGCUUUGACGGAUAACGGGGAAUUAGGGUUUGGUUCCGGAGAGAGCGCAUGAGAAAUUGCGCUUACAGCUAAGGUUGGCAGCAGGAGCGAAAACUUUUCUAAUAGGCAAUGCUUGAAAAGGUGACGAAAUGUAUUGGCUUCAGCAAAUUGUUGAUGACUGAAAUGAAUACCAUAUAGAUUAUGGCAUGAGAAACUAGUUCAGGGCAAGUCUGGUGCCAGCAGCCGCGGUAAUACCAGCUGAGCUUGGGAUGGGUAAUGUUGUUGCAGUAAAAACAUUCGUAGUCACGAAUAACAAGAUAUUUUUGUUUAUCAAACAUUAAAGUCAUGUUCUUUAUUCACUCCACGAUUAAAUUAAAAUGAUAUAUAAUUUUAUGGAUACUAUAGCGUGGUAAAUCUGAAGACGCCUGUUCCGCUCUAGAGUAGGAUAUGGGAAUAAAAGGAAAGAAUAAGUGAGGGCUGUGGUACUUGCCAGCUAGAGGUGAAAUUCUAAGAUUUGGUAAUGACAAACAACUGCAAAAGCAUCAGUCUAACUUAUUUUUGGUGAUCAAGAAUUAAAGUGUGGGGAUCGAAGAGGAUUAGAUACCCUCGUAGUCCACACCCUAAACUAUGUCGACUAGUGAUUGGUGAUAAUGAUUAUCAGAACCUUAGCAGAUAUGAAAGUUUUCGGACUCUGGGGGGAGUAUAGUCGCAAGGCUGAAACUUAAAGGAAUUGACGGAACGGCACCACCAGGUGUGGAGCGUGCGGCUUAAUUUGAUUCAACGCGGGAAACCUUACUAGGGUAAGACAUUGGAAUGAUUGACAAAUUGCUUGAUUUUUCUUGAUUCUAUGGGUGGUGGUGCAUGGCCGAUCUUAGUUGGUGGGGUGACUUGUCUGGUUAAUUUCGAUAACGAACGAGAUCCGAGCUGUUUAUUUGGGAUUAUUCACAUUGUGGGUAAGUUGAGAUAAACGGACUAUCAUCUCGAGAUGAUGGAAGUGUCGGGCUAAAUCAGGUCUGUGAUGCCCUUCGAUAUUCUAGGCAGCACGCGCGCUACAAUGAACUUGCGAUGACGUUGCAUAUUUGAAAAAAUAUGUGAAUCGUUAAUCAUGUUCGUGAAUGGGAUAGUUCUUUGCAAUUUUCGAUCUUGAACUGGGAAUACCUUGUAAAUUAAGUCUAGAACACUUAAUUGAAUACGUCCCUGCCGUUUGUACACACCGCCCGUCGUUUCUUCCGACUGAUGCUCAUUGUAAAUUGCGAGGAGGAUUUUAUCUAAAUCGUUGUAAAUGCUGGGUUUGGAGGAAGAAAAAGUCGAACAAAAG
rnacentral:rRNA from 1 species